CAGCGCGGAGCCGCGUGAGAACGCCCCACCGCUGAGUUCGUGUCGUCACUUGAAAGCAUAACAAGCAGCAGUAACAGAGCAGGUCCAGCCCAAGCAGUUGCCUGUUGCAGAUACCCUGACUUCAGCAGGGGGAGAGGCAGAGUUUUGGCCGACGAGAGAGCGAGAGCCGUGAGUCCUCACGGCGCGGCUUCUGUGCGUGUGCGUGUGCGUGUGUGCACGUGCGUUGAGCGCCGAAGGAUGAAGCGUGGCGGCAGCGGUCAACAGGACAACGUGGCGCGCCUGACAGCAAGGGGGUUCGGGAAGGCCAAGGCUACUCAAGCGCUCAAGGAUGCCGGCAACAACGUAGAGGUAGCCCUGCGGAUUCUGGAACGGCAGCGUGAUCAGCAACAGCAGCAGCAGUCGCGAGCGCGCGGGAUAGAUGGAGCGCGCACGUCGACCAGCACGACCUCAGCGGCCAUCCCAUCGCUGAACCGAACGAAACCGCCGCCGACGUCGACUCUGUUCGCUAGUUCUUCUCCCGCCGUCGAGGCCAUGCGCCGGCAGCGGGAGCGCCUCCACCCCUGCGUCGUGCAGUUCGGCUCGUGUCAGUACGGCCAGUAUUGCGUCCUCAAGGAUCUCCCCGGCGACGUUUGCGUGCAGCACUUUCAAGGCAGCUGCGUGUACGGAAGUUCCUGCCGCCAUCGCCACACGAUCGAAGGCGUCGAUGUUCGCGAUUAUGUGUGGGGCGCCUCUAAGGACGGUGACGCGGAGCCCGUGCUGCGAAACGGUGAUUCGAUGUACCGCGUGCGCGCCGUGGAUGGGAUGGGGUCGAAGGUGCAGAUGGCCGAGCCGAUAGGCGACCAGGCCGACACCCACGCACGUGCCGAUGAUGGUGAGUGUGACGGUGGCGACGUGGCGCACCGACGGCUCGCCGCUCCGCCACUGCUUGCCUCCGAUUUUAAUCGCAUUCGCGGAUCAGUCCCAUCGUACACAGAGCCGAUGCUGUCGUCGCCGCCGUAUGCGUUCCAAGGCGAGGCGGUGGAGGCUGAGGGCAGCGAGGAGGGUGACGCUGCAGGAUGUGGCGCAACGAAAACGGGCCCAGCAGCGCUCCUGGUGGCGCAUCCGACACCGUUCCGCGAUCUAGUGAAGGGUAGCGCUGGCCCUGUGCAGCUCCCUCCUCCACAGCGACCACUGCCGUCAUCAUCGACGACGACCUCUCCUCCAACAACGGCGACUGCUCGUCGCGCUCGUGCACGUCACCCGUGCAUUGCGCAGUACGGCAGCUGCAAGUUCGGCGACGCCUGCGUCCACGCUGACCGUGACGCGGACGUUUGCGUGCACUUCCUUAACCGCCGUUGCCGCUACAGCGCAGACGAGUGCCGUUACCGCCACGAAACGGAGGCGGAGUACCACGCCGCGUUGCUCGCUCGCACCGCUCUGCCGGGGCCGACUGCGGACGCGACGGGCGAGCGGAAGGAGCCGCGGCACACCGACAAGCCAAGGAGCCGCUUGCAGGGCGGCCCUUCGCGAAGUGCAUCGGCGUCAGGCUCGGGUCGAGACACGUCUUCGGAUGCCCGGGCACCGUCGCUAGCGCUGCCGUCCGUGGAGGACUUGGCGGCGCUGCCCGAAGCACUGCGGCCAGUUGACCAUGCCGUGGCGACUCACCACGGCGACGGCGACGGCGACCACCUCAGCAGCGCCUCUGAGAUGCAGGUCUUCCUGGGGCUGCUUGAGGUGUUCCCGAAUGUUGAGCCGGCGGUGGUGCUGCAGGCGCUGCGCGUGAGCGGCGGAGACCCAAUCCGCGCCAGUGACGUUAUUGCCCACGCUGGUGCCGUCCCGACAACGGCCGAGGUGAACGACGUGGCUGCUGCACUUGCGUUGGCGGCGGCCGAGGAGACAGCGGCGCGCGAGGCGGCGGUGGACGACGCUGCUGCGGCAGUGGCGCUGGAGCGCCACAACGCCCUCCUGACACUCAUCUCCCUCUUCCCAGGAGUCGACCCGGUUGCGGUGGAGGCGGUGCUGUCGCAGCACCACGGUGCCUUCGCCGACGCGUACAAUGUACUUUUCUGCGCGCAGGAGAAUGUGGCUCGGUCAGCCAUGUGGAGCGGGAGCACGGCGGCUAUGACGCCAGCCGAUCAGCUCCGCGUAGAGAAGCUGUGCGUGAUGUUCCCCGGCCUCGACGCGGACGUCGUGCGGAGCGCCUACUGCGCCGCAGACCGUCAGUGGAGUCGCGCGACAGCGGCGCUGAACGCGCUGACGAAGGAGCUGCUCUCACUGGACUCUGUCGAGGCGGCGCCUGCAAAGAUGGCUGCAGCGGCGACGGUGGAGUGGCGGCCGCCGCAUCCCGCUACGGCGACGACAGCGGUCGCAGGGGACGACAGCAGCGGUGCCGGCGGUGUCCAGAAGACCCGUGAAGAAACGAGCGCGGAGGUCUACAGCGCCUAUCGAGCGGCGGAAAAUGAGAUACUCGAGUUCGGCGACUGGCGGCGGGUGCGGGAGCGGGCGUACCUGAUGAACACGCAGCGUCUCCGUGUCCUGGGCCAGGCCACCGCGGCCUUUUCAAGCGGGGACGGCAGGACGGCGAGAGUCCUUAGCAGCGAGGGUCGUCGGCUCGGUCUCGAGUACAACCGCCUGAAUCGCUUGGCGAUGCUCGCCCUGGAGCAAGAGCGGCUGCGCACAGAUGCCACAAGCACCCUCGACCUCCACGGUUUCCAUAGCACUGAGGUGCAUGACGUGCUGGUCCGUCGCGUCCGCGUCUGCCAGCGCCAUCGUAUUGGUCACCUCCGCAUUGUGACGGGGCAGGGCAAGCACAGCAGGCACGGCCAUCAGUCGCUCUACCCCACCGUCAUGGAAGACCUCCGCACAGACGCUUUUCUGAGUGCUGUCGUAAAGGUCAAGUCCAUCAAGGCCGGCUACAUCGACGUCACAGUGCGACUGCCGAACACCGGAUCCUAAGCAAGAGGAGGGUGGCGGACGGAUAGAGCCGCCUGGCAGCGCGAGGAGAAGGGCAUGACUGACCAGGGAUGACAAAAAACCGUACGUGUGCGGUUGCGCUCUCCAGCGCACCCUCCCCUUCAGCAUCCUUCUCCGCUUACGAGGUUCCUUUCUCUUCUCCCAGAGCUCUCACUGCACGUAUGUGUGUGUGUGUGUGCUGGGGGGGGGGGUCUGUGAGUAUCGUGUAAGACGCAGACGACGGCAACAGCAGCAUCAAGGACGAUGCUUCCUAACAAGACGUUCUAACCCCCCAUCUCUUGGUGCGUGUAGCAUCGGACCUGCUCCGGUCGUCAUCACCACCACUUGACCGCCACCUCCUCCCUCAUCAGCGCUUCCUCCUUUCUCUUAUCAGCGUCGCGCACCUCAAGAACGGACAGACUCUCUCUUUCACACACACAUACACACACACACAGAGACGGGCGUAUAUAUACAUACACACACACGGGGAGUGGAUGCAUCAUCGCCAUCGACCUCCUCGUCGUCAGCAUCGCUUCCACGGUGCGCUGUCUCUCUGUGCCUGCUUCUCUCUCGCUACCGUUUCUUCGUCGCGGCUUUGUGGGAGCACCGCACCUUCACUGGCCCACGCCACCCCCUCCUCUUGGGCGCAUGCUUUCGGCUCGCUCGUGCGCUUGCCCCCCCCCUCUCCCCACCCCUCACAAUGCCUCCCCGUGCAGG
rnacentral:misc_RNA from 1 species